rnacentral:lncRNA from 1 species
CAGCAGGGGUACCAAGUACCACGGGCCCAGGAGUUUGAAAAUCCUGAGCAAAAACUCGUGUAGGACGCAUUUCAUGCUACGUGUGGCCUUCAGGGCGGGCAGCACUCACACCCUAACCCUACUGCCCUUGAGCCUAGCACUGCACCAUGAGUCAGUCCCAGUGUCACACACCCUAGACGCAGCCACCUCUGGAAGGGCCCCACCUGUGGCCACACGGAGGCUUUGGGGCACAUCUGGACACAGCCACAACAGAGAAAACCAGAAAAGAGACUGUCUGCCUGGCUCAAGCAUAUCAACGAU